CAAAAGAAACAACAAAUUUUUCACAAUUUUAGGAAGAAAGGGAUUGUGAGAUGUUUUCAUAAACACAAUUUACCUCUGUGGAGAAAAAUUCAACAAAGCUAAUAACUGAUAAAAGUUCGUGGAAUUUAGUCACUGAUUUACAUAUGAAUUUUUUUUAUUCCGGUGAUAAACAAAAAGUUAAGUAUCAAAAGAGUUUUCCAUACAAGAACUUGAGUUUGAUAGGAUAUUGUAGCGUUGCCUUGGACAAUAAUCUAUGCUAAACUUCGCCGAGAUAGCUUAUCAAAGAAAAUAGUUUUCCACACAUAAACUUGAGUUCGAUCGUUCAGUUUUUGGCAAUAGCUGUAUGCUGUAACGGUUCCGAUAAAUGAGUAGUUUCUUGGUAAAUAAAGGACGUGUGCAAAAUUUCAGACCGAUAUCUCGAAAACUGAGCGACUAAUUCGCGAAUCUACAGACGAUGCAACAUAAUUAAUCGAAAAAAAUAUUCAAUGAGGACACUAACAUACAGACACCAAAUAAAAUUUUAUGCAAGCAUACAUAAUAAAUUAUAAAUAAUUUGGCGCAAAACAACACUAAAAACUAAAAAUUUAAAAUAAUAAUAACAACAAAAAACAGCCGGGUGCAGUGGAACUAAAAACCACACUGAGUAGCUGUAAGUGUUUUGCAAUCAAAGGGGCGCUACAGCAACAUUUUUCGAACAACAGCUAUAAAAAACAAAAAGAGACAUAACCCAAUAAGUCUAAUGAGAUUAUUUGGAGGUUUAUACACCACGAAAUAUAUGCAAAAACACUGAAGAAGAGGAGGAGAGACAACAGCGAAGAUAUUAUAAGCCGCGAGCAAAACGAAUAGAUAACUACGCUAUUUACAUUACAAGCAGCAACAAAACAACAAGAUAAGCAAUAAAAAAGGCAAAAAAUAGCGGCGGUGGCCUGCUUGUUGCCUGAUAUUGGCAAUGGAGCCAUCAAAACUAGUAAUUGAUUUCAACACUUUGGCAAUAAGCGCGCGGCUCUAACGUCACAUGCGCUUAUAGCAGUCGAUGGUAAUGGAGUCGGCUUGAAAAGUCGCAUCAACAGCAGCGAGUGAUGAAAAACGCUGCAAAACGAAUUUGCCGGCAGACGCAGCGGUCAGUGAAGUCAACAGCAGCACAGUGACAACAACAACAGCUAUAACAAGCCCUACGUAAUGAGAUAAAGCUAUUAAUUCGCUUCAGUUGAGAUUUUAAUAAGCAUUUUUUCUUGAUAUAAAAUAUUUGGAAAUAUGCAGUUGCUUCCUUAUAACCGGAUGUAAUGUUCAAUUUGAAUGUUUUCUUUUGAACUUCUUUUCUAAUAAGUUCAAUUGUUAAAUUUUAAAAAAAUUUAAAAACGAUCGAAUUCUUAUAAGAAAAUAUAUUCUAUGCCUUUUAGACUAGGGCCGAAAUUUGAGGGCAAAAAAAACUUUGUAGGAGGGAACUUAAUAGCAAGAGGUGCUGGAAUCCCAAAACAAAAUGUAUGUAACACUAAUUAAC